rnacentral:rRNA from 1 species
GAUGAACGCUGGCGGCGUGCUUAAUACAUGCAAGUCGAACGGAGACUGUAGCAAUACUGUCUUAGUGGCGAACGGGUGAGUAACGCGUUGGUGACCUGCCCCGAAGAGAGGGAUAACAGUCCGAAAGGAUUGCUAAUACCCCAUGUGGUCGUUUGGAUUAGAUGCCUUAUGACUAAACGGAUUUAUUCGCUUCGGGAGGGGCCUGCGUCCCAUCAGCUAGUUGGUGAGGUAAUAGCUUACCAAGGCGAUGACGGGUAGGGGACCUGAGAGGGUGGCCCCCCACAAUGGAACUGAAACACGGUCCAUACACCUACGGGUGGCAGCAGUAGGGAAUAUUGGUAAUCUGGGAAACCGGGAACCAGCAACGCCGCGUGCGCGAUGACGGCCUUCGGGUUGUAAAGCGCUUUUUAAAGGGAUGAGGAAGGACAGUACCUUUAGAAUAAGCCUCGGCUAACUACGUG